UACGAAGGGUGCAAGCGUUAAUCGGAAUUACUGGGCGUAAAGCGUGCGUAGGCGGUUCGUUAAGUCUGUCGUGAAAGCCCUGGGCUCAACCUGGGAAUGGCGAUGGAUACUGGCCAGCUAGAGUGUGAUAGAGGAUGGCGGAAUUCCCGGUGUAGCGGUGAAAUGCGUAGAGAUCGGGAGGAACAUCCGUGGCGAAGGCGGCCAUCUGGAUCAACACUGACGCUGAGGCACGAAAGCGUGGGGAGCAAACAGG
rnacentral:rRNA from 1 species